UAACUUCUAACUCUUACUUUUAACCCUAACUUCUAACCCUAACACUAUCUAAAUAUGUAUAUAUACUUAUUUUUACUAAUUUUUGUUUAUUUUUAUUAAUUUCUAUUAACCCUAACACUAACCAUAAUUAUUUACAUUUACUCUAACCCUAACCCUAACCCUAACCUUACCCUAACCCUAAUUAUGAAAAUUAUUAAAUAAUUGUUAUUUGUAACGGAAUAUCCGUUAAAAAUAGUUAAAAAAUCCGUUACAAUAUAUAAGUUCUAG
rnacentral:lncRNA from 1 species